ACCGGGAUGGACGUACCGCUGGUGUACCAGUUGUUCCGCCAGGAGCACCGCUGGGUAGCUAUGUACGGACGGGAUAAGCGCUGAAAGCAUCUAAGCGUGAAGCCCCCCUCAAGAUGAGAUUUCCCAAUUAGUAAGACCCCUUGAAGACGACGAGGUAGAUAGGCUGGGGGUGGAAGUGCAGCAAUGCAUGGAGCUGACCAGUACUAAUCGGUCGAGGGCUUAUCCAAAGAAUACCC
rnacentral:rRNA from 1 species